GAUGAAGAACGUAGCGAAAUGCGAUACUUGGUGUGAAUUGCAGAAUCCCGUGAACCAUCGAGUCUUUGAACGCAAGUUGCGCCCGAAGCCAUUAGGCCGAGGGCACGCCUGCCUGGGCGUCACACGUCGUUGCCCCCCCAUCUACUCCUUCGGGAUUGCGGGGGGCGGAUGAUGGCCUCCCGUGCGCCUCGUCGCGCGGUUGGCAUAAAUGCCAAGUCCUCGGCGACGCACGCCACGACAAUCGGUGGUUGCGAAACCUCGGUUGCCCGUCGGGUGCGGUCGUCGCGCAUCGAGGGCUCGAAAAAAUUGCCGGGCUCCGGCUCGGCUUUCAACGCGACCCCAGGUCAGGCGGGGUUACCCGCUGAAUUUAAGCAUAUCAAUAAGCGGAGGA
rnacentral:misc_RNA from 1 species